rfam:Ixodes scapularis strain Wikel colony gcontig_1108378888868, whole genome shotgun sequence.
CAAAAGGCCCUUUUAAGGGCCAAACAAAUCU